GACGAACGCUGGCGGCGUGCUUAACACAUGCAAGUCGAACGGAAAGGCCCUGCUUUUGUGGGGUGCUCGAGUGGCGAACGGGUGAGUAACACGUGAGUAACCUGCCCUUGACUUUGGGAUAACUUCAGGAAACUGGGGCUAAUACCGGAUAGGAGCUCCUGCUGCAUGGUGGGGGUUGGAAAGUUUCGGCGGUUGGGGAUGGACUCGCGGCUUAUCAGCUUGUUGGUGGGGUAGUGGCUUACCAAGGCUUUGACGGGUAGCCGGCCUGAGAGGGUGACCGGCCACAUUGGGACUGAGAUACGGCCCAGACUCCUACGGGAGGCAGCAGUGGGGAAUAUUGCACAAUGGGCGGAAGCCUGAUGCAGCAACGCCGCGUGCGGGAUGACGGCCUUCGGGUUGUAAACCGCUUUCGCCUGUGACGAAGCGUGAGUGACGGUAAUGGGUAAAGAAGCACCGGCUAACUACGUGCCAGCAGCCGCGGUGAUACGUAGGGUGCGAGCGUUGUCCGGAUUUAUUGGGCGUAAAGGGCUCGUAGGUGGUUGAUCGCGUCGGAAGUGUAAUCUUGGGGCUUAACCCUGAGCGUGCUUUCGAUACGGGUUGACUUGAGGAAGGUAGGGGAGAAUGGAAUUCCUGGUGGAGCGGUGGAAUGCGCAGAUAUCAGGAGGAACACCAGUGGCGAAGGCGGUUCUCUGGGCCUUUCCUGACGCUGAGGAGCGAAAGCGUGGGGAGCGAACAGGCUUAGAUACCCUGGUAGUCCACGCUGUAAACGGUGGGUACUAGGUGUGGGGUCCAUUCCACGGGUUCCGUGCCGUAGCUAACGCUUUAAGUACCCCGCCUGGGGAGUACGGCCGCAAGGCUAAAACUCAAAGGAAUCGACGGGGCCCCGCACAAGCGGCGGAGCAUGCGGAUUAAUUCGAUGCAACGCGUAGAACCUUACCUGGGUUUGACAUGGAUCGGGAGCGCUCAGAGAUGGGUGUGCCUCUUUUGGGGUCGGUUCACAGGUGGUGCAUGGCUGUCGUCAGCUCGUGUCGUGAGAUGUUGGGUUAAGUCCCGCAACGAGCGCAACCCUUGUUCACUGUUGCCAGCACGUUAUGGUGGGGACUCAGUGGAGACCGCCGGGGUCAACUCGGAGAAAGGUGGGGAUGACGUCAAGUCAUCAUGCCCCUUAUGUCCAGGGCUUCACGCAUGCUACAAUGGCUGGUACAGAGAGUGGCGAGCCUGUGAGGGUGAGCGAAUCUCGGAAAGCCGGUCUCAGUUCGGAUUGGGGUCUGCAACUCGACCUCAUGAAGUCGGAGUCGCUAGUAAUCGCAGAUCAGCAACGCUGCGGUGAAUACGUUCCCGGG
rnacentral:rRNA from 1 species